rnacentral:pre_miRNA from 1 species
CAACUACUCCCUCCGUCCCAUAUUAAGUGACUUUCUAUUACAUGUAUCUAGACGCUUUUUAGGCAUAGAUACAUUCAUAUUUGGACAAAUUUGAGUCACUUAAUAUGAGACAGAGGGAGUAUGUC